rnacentral:rRNA from 1 species
GAUGAACGCUGGCGGCGUGCCUAAUACAUGCAAGUCGAGCGAACGGACGAGAAGCUUGCUUCUCUGAUGUUAGCGGCGGACGGGUGAGUAACACGUGGAUAACCUACUUAUAAGACUGGGAUAACUUCGGGAAACCGGAGCUAAUACCGGAUAAUAUUUUGAACCGCAUGGUUCAAAAGUGAAAGACGGUCUUGCUGUCACUUAUAGAUGGAUCCGCGCUGCAUUAGCUAGUUGGUAAGGUAACGGCUUACCAAGGCAACGAUGCAUAGCCGACCUGAGAGGGUGAUCGGCCACACUGGAACUGAGACACGGUCCAGACUCCUACGGGAGGCAGCAGUAGGGAAUCUUCCGCAAAGGGCGAAAGCCUGACGGAGCAACGCCGCGUGAGUGAUGAAGGUCUUCAGAUCGUAAAACUCUGUUAUUAGGGAAGAACAUAUGUGUAAGUAACUGUGCACAUCUUGACGGUACCUAAUCAGAAAGCCACGGCUAACUACGUG